GCACUGGUGGUCCAAUGGUAGAAUUCUCAUCUUCCACGCCGGAAACCUAGGUUCAAUUCCCAGCCAAUGCA
rnacentral:tRNA from 1 species